CUGAGCAGAGGGGGGUCCGAUGCCAGUUGCUUAAAAUGCCCCUGUAGCAUCAAGAGGUGCCAGAACCGAGUCAACUUAGUUGAGAAGCAGUGACACCCACAACCAUACCCCAAAUAAGCUGAGCCUCCACCUCCGAAGAGUCCUCCCUGGGCCAGACAACAGCCAAGGCAAGAGUGACAGCUAGUCAAAUUCCCCACUACGCUAGAGAAUGAGGAGCCCCAGAGAGAAAUCCUCCCGAGAACCAGAAAACGGACAGCGGUGGCAGCCUGCUCCCAGAACUGAGCUUCCCAACAGACAGAAGCCAGAGAUUCCCCUAGCCUGGAGACAUUUUCUGAAGACGUAGGAAAAGGAGAAAAAGAGGGCCACCCCCUGCAGCAAUGCCAAGAUGCCGAGAGUCAAUGCCAAGUGCAAGCCCUGAGGAAAAGCCUACCUACAGACAACCCUGAAAGUGUGUGUCAUCCAGCAUCAAGGCCACCACAGUCACCAUGAAGCAAAGGUCUUCCGGGACCCUGGGAUCUUAUCAAGAGCAGGGGUGAGUGGGUGGUUUGGGGUUGGGGUACCCUGCUCACCUGGAAGUUCCCACACAAGCCACGCCCAUAGAAGAAAAUAAUUCUCCACAUGGCACUCAGUCAGCGACCAGCACAUGUCUGCUAUGUCUGUUGUCAUGUGCAGUUUCUAGAGACCCCACAUUAUAACAAAGGAGCCCUGGCCUCAGGGAACUGCAGAGGUAAGUGCGGAUGGGCCCAGAGAGAGGAUGAGGUGGUUUGCAACUCAAGCAGCGUUCAUCAUGGCCCUGAUUUGGGCACUGAGGGAAUCCAGCCAGCUCCCUUUCCCCAUGAAGGAGAAUGUGCUCACAGAAGAAAAUUCUACCUCAAGAGUUGGGAAGAAACAGAGUUCACAGGGUGGACAAGAACAUGAAGAAGGUGUCCUGGGGUCUAAAGGAGUGAGGGAUGGCUUCUCACAAGUGCUAUUUUGCCCAGAAUGUAUACAGAGAUGGGUGGUGAACAAGAGCAGGGGACCACGAGGUGAGUGGACACAGGAGGUAUAUGAUACGUGCAAGGCAUGGAGUUCCAUUCCCAGCACUGCAGAGAAAAAAAAACUAAUUGCACACUUUAAAUGGAUUGGCUCUACCUCAAGAAAGCUAACUUAAAAAAAAAAAAGGAAAAGAAGGUGGAAUUUUCCAGUCUCAGAGGGCUCCGGCAAGGGGAGAGCAGGGUGGGAGGCUUACACUCCUCCUCCUGUCCAGGAGAAGGGCUGCAGCCCGAGAGCGGAACAGGGCAGCCCAAGCUCGCGCGGAGCGCCUGUCUCCCAGCCUGAGGUGCAGUGCUGCAUCUCUGGUCAGUUGGGAGUCUGAGAUGAAGCACUGUAGCUCAGGAAGGGAGAAGUUGUUCUGCAGCCGUCUCAGGAACGUGGUAAGUGUUGACGCGGUGGGGUAGCAGGUCCAAGAGGUUGUCCCUAGACUCUGCCCCAGCAGUCCAUGGUGAUGUUCCUGAGGUAAAGCCGCACCAGUACUGACUGCUCCCAUGCAUCUGUAACAGUAGGCCGCUGGUCCAUUCGGUGGGGGACCGGUAUGGACACCCUGCCUCCACUUUCUCUUCCUGAGCCACAGAAGACACUGUUAACAAAUCAAGGCAUCUAUCCAUUCUGGAAGGGUUCCCUCAUACCCUCAGAUCCUUCUCAACACUGCAGACACAGUUACCCACUCUAAGUGAUCCUAGGCUGAACCCCAUUCAUCUCUGUAGGUCAUCAGACAACCCCUAACCACUCUUCCAUCCUGGAGGUAGCGGCCCAGGGCCCUGGCAGCCCAACACAUUGUAGAUGACGCUGUCAUGUUGCAAUGUCAAAAUGUUGCGCAUCCCUGCUAGGCGUGGAGUCAUAGUCUUCACUAUCCGGGCCUCUAACUCUGGCUCCGAGCUAUUGACCUAAACCCAGCCCAGGCAUUUCACAAAUGUGGAUCCUGUCCCAGAGGCUUCUGAGAAGCAUGGGGCAGCAAAGGUGAGCCACUGGGAUACACCCAUUGGCAUUUAACCACCUGCACCUGGUCAGAGGAAAGGCGACCCACCUCACAGAGGAGAAAAACUAAGUCUUAGUUAAGUAACUGGCCCUAGGGUCCCAUACGGAUGUAUGAGCUGGGGUCUACCUUCUUAUCCACUGCGAGACUAUGGGACCUGGAGCAAGAGAGUAGGAAAACAGAACAAACCCGACUCUGGUCUUGUCUACUCUCUGCCUUAUAGUAAACAAAGGCAGAACCACACACUGGUCUAAGAGUCCCGUGGCCUCCCUUUCUUCAUGCUGGCCCCCUCACCCAGUAGGUCCUAUCUGAUGUCCCUUUACAACCAAGACUCAGAGUUUAAGGGACCUGCUGGAGGUCAGCCGGGAGAAAGUUGCCAGAAGCCUGGGAAACCUUGACUUCACCCAAACUGGUUUAAAUUCCCCCUCCUGACCUAUGGCAGUGGGGGGAAGGAACUGGUCCCAGACGCUCUCUGGUUCGUCUGAUCGAUUCUCAUGAACAUCAGCAGCUUCCUUGACCCCAAGGAAGGUACUUUCCAAGCCUCUUCAAACUCUAAUCGCUCUUCCCAGGGCAGGAAGCUGCACCCUGGGAGUCCGCAGCACCCCACGCUGGCUGCCAGAGCUAGGGCUGGGCGCUGAGAAAACUGCUGGUCCCUAGGGGUGUGGCGGGUGCUGAAGCCUCUCUCCCCACCUUGUCCUCACGGUCCAGUUUUCCCAGGAAUCCCUUGGAUGCUAAGAUGGGGCUUCCUGGAAAAUCUGUUCUUGAGGUCAUGGUUUAGCUGCUGGAUCUGCCUCUUCCCACCCUGGCAUUUCCUCUCUGGGAUGAGGGAGGAGAAGGCGGUACACUGGAGGUAAGCGGCCUCGGGAUAGCCCUUCUGACCUUUGCAUUGCUUUCCUUUCCACUGUGCCGGAUUUCAUAACACCCCCGGGAGGCUGGAUUGUGGGAACCUCAGAACUGCCUCGCUCUUGAGAAAACUUGUCCCAGCGGUUGGAGCAGGACUCUGAGGCCGCGGUCCCUCCACUGUGACCCUCCCCAUUCCUUCCCUGGCGGGGGCCUUACGGUAAGGAGGGACCGCAGGCCCAUAUCCACAUUAUUAAGAAAGUCAGACACAAAUUUAUUUUAAAAUUUUAUUAAAUCAGUUAGGUAACGAAAAACCAUUCAUCUCUGGUGGAUUUGGAGGCAACAGCCACAGAAAACUGAGCUUUGGGGGUAGAAAUACAAGAUUUUGAGCGCCCCCUGGUGGUAUUUUUGCUCACUUUCAGGAACACUGUGAUUUCCCUAUACACUGCGCAGGAAUCUCUCUGCUGCUUGCCUUCCGGUUUCUACACACUCCUGCCAAAAUUCUUUCUGCCCAGUCACUUUUGGAGCACAGACAUGCUUAAGCCUUAUUUAUCCCUUGCCAGAGAUGCUGUCCCGCGGCUUACAGUUGGUUUUCUUUAGGCCCAAACCAGGCAAGUUCACCCAGGACAGCAAAAAAGCAGAGCCAGGAUAGGUUUAUAAGUUCCAUGGCCCCUAGCAUUGAAUUCUGAGCCGAAAGGGAAAGUAGGGCCAAGUAAUCUUCCUUUUAGCUCCCUGCCCCCUAAACUCUUGGGAGUUCUUUCUCGUUUUUCCUUAAUAAAUUUGUUGUGCUUUAAAAAAAA